rnacentral:sRNA from 1 species
GUGGACUCGGAGGCGAUCCUUGCAUAUUUCAAUGCAAAUAUGAAUGUAGUCUUUGAGAAUGAUAAUAGA